rnacentral:rRNA from 1 species
GAUGAACGCUGACAGAAUGCUUAACACAUGCAAGUCAACUUGAACUUCGGUUUGGGUGGCGGACGGGUGAGUAACGCGUAAAGAACUUACCUCACAGAUAGGGACAACAUUUGGAAACGAAUGCUAAUACCUAAUAUUAUGAUUUUAGGGCAUCCUAGGAUUAUGAAAGCUAUAUGCGCUGUGAGAGAGCUUUGCGUCCCAUUAGCUAGUUGGAGAGGUAACGGCUCACCAAGGCGAUGAUGGGUAGCCGGCCUGAGAGGGUGAUCGGCCACAAGGGGACUGAGACACGGCCCUUACUCCUACGGGAGGCAGCAGUGGGGAAUAUUGGACAAUGGACCAAGAGUCUGAUCCAGCAAUUCUGUGUGCACGAUGAAGUUUUUCGGAAUGUAAAGUGCUUUCAGUUGGGAAGAAAAAAAUGACGGUACCAACAGAAGAAGUGACGGCUAAAUACGUGCCAGCAGCCGCGGUAAUACGUAUGUCACAAGCGUUAUCCGGAUUUAUUGGGCGUAAAGCGCGUCUAGGUGGUUAUAUAAGUCUGAUGUGAAAAUGCAGGGCUCAACUCUGUAUUGCGUUGGAAACUGUGUAACUAGAGUACUGGAGAGGUAAGCGGAACUACAAGUGUAGAGGUGAAAUUCGUAGAUAUUUGUAGGAAUGCCGAUGGGGAAGCCAGCUUACUGGACAGAUACUGACGCUGAAGCGCGAAAGCGUGGGUAGCAAACAGG